GACGAACGCUGGCGGCGUGCCUAAUACAUGCAAGUAGAACGCUGAAGGAGGAGCUUGCUUCUCUGGAUGAGUUGCGAACGGGUGAGUAACGCGUAGGUAACCUGCCUGGUAGCGGGGGAUAACUAUUGGAAACGAUAGCUAAUACCGCAUAAUAGUAGAUGUUGCAUGACAUUUGCUUAAAAGGUGCAAUUGCAUCACUACCAGAUGGACCUGCGUUGUAUUAGCUAGUUGGUGGGGUAACGGCUCACCAAGGCGACGAUACAUAGCCGACCUGAGAGGGGGAUCGGCCACACUGGGACUGAGACACGGCCCAGACUCCUACGGGAGGCAGCAGUAGGGAAUCUUCGGCAAUGGACGGAAGUCUGACCGAGCAACGCCGCGUGAGUGAAGAAGGUUUUCGGAUCGUAAAGCUCUGUUGUAAGAGAAGAACGAGUGUGAGAGUGGAAAGUUCACACUGUGACGGUAUCUUACCAGAAAGAGACGGCUAACUACGUG
rnacentral:rRNA from 1 species